GGUCGAAUUCAAGCCAUGGAUCGUCGCCGCCUUGAAGCCGAGAUCAUGGCCGACGCGGAUCGCGGUAUCGAUACAGUACUCCGUUUGCAGACCGGCGACUUC
rnacentral:rRNA from 1 species